rnacentral:rRNA from 1 species
ACGUAUGUCGCAAGCGUUAUCCGGAUUUAUUGGGCGUAAAGCGCGUCUAGGCGGCAAGGAAAGUCUGAUGUGAAAAUGCGGGGCUCAACUCCGUAUUGCGUUGGAAACUGCCUUACUAGAGUACUGGAGAGGUAGGCGGAACUACAAGUGUAGAGGUGAAAUUCGUAGAUAUUUGUAGGAAUGCCGAUGGGGAAGCCAGCCUACUGGACAGAUACUGACGCUAAAGCGCGAAAGCGUGGGUAGCAAACAG